GCCACAGCUUGGUGGUAGAGCAUCUGCCUUGCACGCAGAAGGUUGCAGGUUCAAUCCCCAGCAUCUUCAGUUAGGUA